CCUCAAAGCUUUGGAAACAGUUCACAAAUUAAACAGAGCCCAGACAUUAGCUCACAAAGUGGACGUCUGCCCGAGGAGCCGGUACUCACAGUGACUGUGUGACGUCAGGUCGAGACCCCACUUCCCCCUCGGUGGAAGCUGUCGACCGCCAGUUGGGGAAGGACGCCAUGUUGGAUCCGUGGCGACGAGGCGUUCAGGGCCAACACGUUAUUUGAAGCUAACCGCUGGCAUGCUAGCUUGUAGUCACGAGAGUCCACCUUCAUGAAGAGUCUGCUUGGUUGGUUGUUGUUGUUGUUGUUGUUUUUUAUCCACCCGCCCGCCAUAUUUCAUGAGCAACAUACCACUUAACUCCUGUCCUUUCUUCUUAUAAUCUUUCCUCUUCUCUUGUUUCGAACAGUGACCGAGCAGCAUGUGGUCAACGACGAGUGAGUUCGCUAAUGAGCAGCGUCAGUCCACCUGUGCGGAGCACGUGGGCGUUGACAGACUCAAGUGAACAAGAUGAGACAGAUUUCUCCGCUAUUAAUGGAAAUGGACCACGGCACCAAACCUCCCGCAAGUCUGAAGAAUUUCCAAAAGGCAGCGCUAACAGGCAAAGAUCGCUUUCAUAUCUGUUGAUUUGUGUGACCACCAAGGACCUUUGUGUCAAUGUUAAUCUUAUAUAAAUAAAAUAAAAAACAAAGCUCCUCAUGUCUGGUCACUUUACGUCACUG
rnacentral:lncRNA from 1 species